rnacentral:rRNA from 1 species
GAUUAACGCUAGCGGCAGGCCUAAUACAUGCAAGUUGAACGGCAGCACAGGUAGCACUCCUGGGUGGCGAGUGGCGCACGGGUGCGUAACACGUAUGCAACCUACCCUAUACAGGCGAAUAACCUUUAGAAAUGAGGGCUAAUACGCCGUAGUAUUACAGAUGGCCCUCUAUUUGUAAUUAAAGAUUUAUCGGUAUAGGAUGGGCAUGCGUCCCCUUAGUUAGUUGGUAAGGUAACGGCUUACCAAGACGAUGAUGGGUAGGGGAUCUGCGAGGACUUAACCCCACACUGGUACUGAGACACGGACCAGACUCCUACGGAAGGCAGCAGUAAGGAAUAUUGGGCAAUGGCCGCGAGGCUGACCCAGCCAUGCCGCGUGCAGGAAGACGGCCUUAGGGGUUGUAAACUGCUUUUAUACGGGAAUAAUAGAGUGUACGCGUACAUUUAUGCAAGUAUCGUAUGAAUAAGCAUCGGCUAACUCCGUG